UGGGGAAUAUUGCACAAUGGGCGCAAGCCUGAUGCAGCCAUGCCGCGUGUAUGAAGAAGGCCUUCGGGUUGUAAAGUACUUUCAGCGGGGAGGAAGGGAGUAAAGUUAAUACCUUUGCUCAUUGACGUUACCCGCAGAAGAAGCACCGGCUAACUCCGUGCCAGCAGCCGCGGUAAUACGGAGGGUGCAAGCGUUAAUCGGAAUUACUGGGCGUAAAGCGCACGCAGGCGGUUUGUUAAGUCAGAUGUGAAAUCCCCGGGCUCAACCUGGGAACUGCAUCUGAUACUGGCAGGCUUGAGUCUCGUAGAGGGAGGUAGAAUUCCAGGUGUGGCGGUGAAAUGCGUAGAGAUCUGGAGGAAUACCGGUGGCGAAGGCGGCCCCCUGGACGAAGACUGACGCUCAGGUGCGAAAGCGUGGGGAGCAAACAGG
rnacentral:rRNA from 1 species